rnacentral:rRNA from 1 species
AUGAGUCGCCACCCGAGCACUAAGUGGGCGCAGAGGCUGGACAAGGUUUACUUGACGAUUGAGCUGCCCGACGCAAAGGAUGUGAAGCUCAACCUGAGGCCUGAUGGCCAUUUCAACUUCUCAGCAAAGGCCCCUGCUGAUGACAUGCAGUAUGAGCUUGACCUUGAGCUCUUUGAUGCUGUCAGUGUUGAGGAGAGCCAAGCGGCUGUUGCCCCGAGGACUAUAUGCUACCUUGUCAAGAAAGCUGAGGGCAAGUGGUGGCCUAGGCUGCUCAAGAAGGAAGGUAGGCCACCUGUGUUCCUGAAGGUUGACUGGGAUAAAUGGCAAGAUGAGGAUGAUGAAGAUGCCGGAUUUGGUGACUUUGGUGAUAUGGACUUCUCGAAGCUGGACAUGGGAGGUGGUGAUGACGACGAUGAUGAUGAGAUUGAGGAGGAGGAGGAUGAAGACAAUGUGGUUGACAGUGCUAACAAAGGUGAUGUAGAUGCUGAGGCAGAGCCGGGGAGCAAAGGAGGGGUGGCGUUGCUGUAA